rnacentral:rRNA from 1 species
GGGGAGUGAAAUAGAACCUGAAACCCUGCACUUACAAGCUGUGGAAGCACAUUUCUUGUGUGACCGCGUACUUUUUGUAGAACGGGCCAACGAGUUACGUUAAGUAGCAAGGUUAAGCACUUAAGGUGCGGAGCCGUAGCGAAAGCGAGUUUUAACUGAGCGUUCAGUUAUUUGACGUAGACCCGAAACCGGGCGACCUACCCAUGAGCAGGAUGAAGCGAAAGUAAAAUUUCGUGGAGGUCCGAACCCACGAGCGUUGAAAAGCUCGGGGAUGACUUGUGGGUAGCGGUGAAAUUCCAAUCGAGCCCGGAGAUAGCUGGUUCUCCCCGAAAUAGCUUUAGGGC